rnacentral:rRNA from 1 species
AGCGAACGCUGGCGGCAGGCCUAACACAUGCAAGUCGAACGGACCCUUCGGGGUUAGUGGCGGACGGGUGAGUAACACGUGGGAACGUGCCUUUAGGUUCGGAAUAGCUCCUGGAAACGGGCGGUAAUGCCGAAUGUGCCCUUCGGGGGAAAGAUUUAUCGCCUUUAGAGCGGCCCGCGUCUGAUUAGCUAGUUGGUGAGGUAAAGGCUCACCAAGGCGACGAUCAGUAGCUGGUCUGAGAGGAUGACCAGCCACAUUGGGACUGAGACACGGCCCAAACUCCUACGGGAGGCAGCAGUGGGGAAUCUUGCGCAAUGGGCGAAAGCCUGACGCAGCCAUGCCGCGUGAAUGAUGAAGGUCUUAGGAUUGUAAAAUUCUUUCACCGGGGACGAUAAUGACGGUACCCGGAGAAGAAGCCCCGGCUAACUUCGUGCCAGCCGCCGCAGUAAUAC